CAGCACCUCAAGUGGUCAGGAUGAUUAUUGGGCCUAAAGCAUCCGUAGCCGGCGCUGUAAGUUUUCGGUUAAAUCUGUACGCUCAACGUACAGGCUGCCGGGAAUACUGCAGCGCUAGGGAGUGGGAGAGGUAGACGGUACUCGGGAGGAAGGGGUAAAAUCCUUUGAUCUAUUGAUGACCACCUGUGGCGAAGGCGGUCUACCAGAACACGUCCGACGGUGAGGGAUGAAAGCUGGGGGAGCAAACCGGAUUAGAUACCCGAGUAGUCC
rnacentral:rRNA from 1 species